CCUUCGGGUUGUAAAGGCUCUUUCAGUACGGGAAGAAACGGUCCACGGCCAACACCCGUGACUAAUGGACGGUACCGUCAGAAGAAGCACCCGGCUAACUACGUGC
rnacentral:rRNA from 1 species